rnacentral:tRNA from 1 species
GGGGGUGUAGCUCAAUGGUAGAGUUCUGGCCUUCCAAGCCAGCUGUGAGGGUUCGAUCCCCUUCACCCGCUCCA